AUGCUAGACCAUGUAGUUAAUGUAUGACUAAGUGGACAUGAGAAGAUAAUUUUUUGAUGAAUGCAUCUAGCAUAUGCCAUCUAUCUCUAAGUCAAUUGAAAUAAGAUUUUGAUUAAUUUUAUCUACGAAUUGAAUCAAGUAGAGUAAGGUUCCAAUUUAAUUGAAAAGAGAUUAGGUUAGAGAAAUUAUUGAUCAGUAAUAGUGAUUCGGCUACAUUGGGUCAAGUCGAAUUGGAUCAAGGCAAA
rnacentral:lncRNA from 1 species